AGCUUUGCACAGUGGCAGUAUUGCAGUCAACGAGGUUUACUGAAAGCACGAUUAUUGCUAAUUGAAAACUUCUGUUACUGAUAUA
rnacentral:snRNA from 1 species